rnacentral:rRNA from 1 species
AACGAACGCUGGCGGCAGGCCUAACACAUGCAAGUCGAGCGAGGACUUCGGUCCUAGCGGCGGACGGGUGAGUAACGCGUGGGAACGUGCCCUUUGCUUCGGAAUAGCCCUGGGAAACUGGGAGUAAUACCGGAUGAGCCCUUUGGGGGAAAGAUUUAUCGGCGAAGGAUCGGCCCGCGUUGGAUUAGGUAGUUGGUGGGGUAAUGGCCUAGCAAGCCGACGAUCCAUAGCUGGUUUGAGAGGAUGAUCAGCCACACUGGGACUGAGACACGGCCCAGACUCCUACGGGAGGCAGCAGUGGGGAAUCUUAGACAAUGGGGGAAACCCUGAUCUAGCCAUGCCGCGUGAGCGAUGAAGGCCUUAGGGUUGUAAAGCUCUUUCAGCUGGGAAGAUAAUGACGGUACCAGCAGAAGAAGCCCCGGCUAACUCCGUG